CCUACGGGAGGCAGCAGUAGGGAAUUUUCGGCAAUGGGGGAAACCCUGACCGAGCAACGCCGCGUGAACGAAGAAGUUCUUCGUAUUGUAAAGUUCUUUUAACAGGGAAGAAAGAGAAUUUUGACGGUACCUGACGAAUAGGAUCCGUCUAACUACAUACCCGCAGCCACGGUAAUACGUAGGGAGCGAGCGUUAUCCGGAAUUAUUGGGCGUAAAGGGUGCGUUGAUGGCAUAGUAAGUCUUUUGUAAAAAUGCUGGGCUAAACCAAGUAGGGCAAAAGAUACUGCAAAGCUAGAGUAUGACAGAGGAAAGUGGAACUACAUGUGUAGCGGUAAAAUGCGUAAAUAUAUGUAAGAACACCAGUGGCGAAGGCGGCUUGCUGGGUCGAUACUGACAUUGAGGCACGAAAGCGUGGGGAGCAAACAGGAUUAGAUACCCUUGUAGUC
rnacentral:rRNA from 1 species